CAGCCUUCAACCUGACUUUGGAAGGUUUCUGAAACCCAGGAAACAAAGUGUGGCAGCCACUCCUUUCCCACAUAUCCUGCUGUUCCUGCUCCUCCUGCCCAUUUUGGUCGUCUUGACCAAGCUGGCCAAGUUCAGAUGUUCCUGGCCACAGGAAGGGGACGAGACGAAGGUGUUGCUCCUAGUCAGUGCAAUGCCAGAUCCUUGCCUCCAGGCUGUGCAAGAACUUAGGAGGAGCUUUUUCUCCUGGAAACCAGAGCCCACACCAGAGCCGUAGCCAGCCUCCUGCUGAGCAGCCAGCUGUGCACUGUAUGGGGCUGGGUGAAGAGCUCAGGCUGCCCACCACAAACUCCAGCCCUCCGCUUGGCCUGAGGGAUGGCCAGGGAGGAGGCACCAAAGACCGAGGCUGUGACAGUGAUGGAUUUUCCUCAGAAAAAGCAGACUCCUCCACUAUCAGGAGCACCUCAGAGAAUUUAAUUUCUGUCCUCACUCCAACAAACCUUCCAGUGAAGUUACCUGGAGUCCAAAUUUAGUAAGUGAAGAUCUUAAUAUCUUAUACACAUGGAAACAAAAAGAAAAGACUCAGUCCCUUCUAACACUCUGCAUUAUUCUAGGUACUUGAUUUAUGGGGCAAAACAGUAUCUGCUGGAAAGAACCUCCGAGAAUGAUGGGAUCAUAAUGAUGAUGAAGAUCCAAGAUCCAAGAUCAUAGAGGUAAUUGUUACAAUAGAAACCAUUACAAAGACCAGAAAUUUCAUACUAUGAAUUGGUCAGUUGUACCCUGCAAAAGGAGGUAAUACAAGACAGAAUUGUCAUGGUCAAAUUAAAAAUAGCUGUUUCAACUUGAAGGCAAAUUUAUUUUUCUGCCACUUCAAUCUCUCUCCCCUGUUUUCUAGGCAAUUAUGGGUGUGAGCUGGUGACCACGCAAAUGCUGGUGAAUGAGAUUGGUCUGUUUGUAUUUGCACUGUUAAGCUGUCAAAGCACUCACAUCAAAGGACUGUAGAACAAAUUGCAAUAGUCACAAGUACCCGCAUUAAAGGGAUGUUUUCAUCCAUGUGUAUACAACUGCCCCCCAGCAACCCCAAAAGAAAACCCAAACAAAACCCCAGCCCCGUCUUGAGAAACAGAAGACCACAAAAGAAGAAGAACAAACAGGUGAGAAGAGCUGGGCACCGGGAUGAAAUGACAGCCAGUAGUGUGAUGGGGGUGU
rnacentral:lncRNA from 1 species